rnacentral:piRNA from 1 species
UAAAACCUGAGUUGGCAGGUGGAGACCAGA